UUGCCUACGGGAGGCAGCAGUGGGGAAUAUUGCACAAUGGGGGAAACCCUGAUGCAGCGACGCCGCGUGGGCGAGGAAGUACCUCGGUAUGUAAAGCCCUAUCAGCAGGGAAGAAACAGGACAGUACCUGACUAAGAAGCCCCGGCUAACUACGUGCCAGCAGCCGCGGUAAUACGUAGGGGGCAAGCGUUAUCCGGAUUUACUGGGUGUAAAGGGAGCGUAGACGGCAGCACAAGUCUGGAGUGAAAUCCCGGGGCUUAACCCCGGAACUGCUUUGGAAACUGUGCGGCUGGAGUGCAGGAGGG
rnacentral:rRNA from 1 species